rnacentral:rRNA from 1 species
AAAAACAUCUUUUCUUGUUAGUUUCUGAAGUAUGGCCUGCCCACUGACGUGUUGUUGAAGGGCCGCGGUAUUUUGACCGUGCAAAGGUAGCAUAAUCAUUAGUUCUUUAAUUGUGAUCUGGUAUGAAUGGCUUGACGAGACAUGAGCUGUCUUGGAGGUAUUGUUUAUUGAAUUUGGUUUUUGAGUUAAAAUUCUUAAAUGUUUUUAUGGGACGAGAAGACCCUAUAGAGUUUGACACUGUUCUUAUUUGUGUUUUGUUUGUCUGUUUUUACUGAAUGGGGAUGAGUGUUUUGUUGGGGUGAUGGGAGUAAUAUUGUUUAACUUCUCUUUGUUUGUGUAUAUUUAUGAAUAUUGUUUUUGAUCCAUUUAUUUUGAUUAUAAGAUUAAAUUACCUUAGGGAUAACAGCGUUAUCCUCCUUGAGAGUUCUUAUUGGCGGGGGGGUUUGCGACCUCGAUGUUGGAUUAAGGUGAAUUUUCGGUGCAGGAGCUGAAUUGAUUAGUCUGUUCGACCUUUAAACCUUACGUGAU